rnacentral:rRNA from 1 species
GUCUACGGACAUACCACCCUGAAUUCGCCCCAUCUCAUCUGAUCUGGGAAGCUAAGCAGGGUCGGACCUGGCUAGUACUUGGAUGGGAGAAGUACCAUUUUAAUGGUAA